rnacentral:rRNA from 1 species
AAUGGGGGCAACCCUGAUCCAGCCAUUCCGCGUGAGUGAAGAAGGCCUUCGGGUUGUAAAGCUCUUUCGGCAGGAACGAAACGGUGAUCCCUAAUACGGAUUACUAAUGACGGUACCUGAAGAAGAAGCACCGGCUAACUACGUGCCAGCAGCCGCGGUAAUACGUAGGGUGCGAGCGUUAAUCGGAAUUACUGGGCGUAAAGCGUGCGCAGGCGGUUCCAUAAGACAGAUGUGAAAUCCCCGGGCUUAACCUGGGAACUGCGUUUGUGACUGUGGGACUGGAGUGUGGCAGAGGGGGGUGGAAUUCCACGUGUAGCAGUGAAAUGCGUAGAGAUGUGGAGGAACACCGAUGGCGAAGGCAGCCCCCUGGGUCAACACUGACGCUCAUGCACGAAAGCGUGGGGAGCAAA